rnacentral:rRNA from 1 species
AUGCACGAGGAGGGUGAGGGAAUUGUCGAGGCGCCGAGAGGAAGAGCGGGCAAUUACUCCACCACCGAUGACAAGUUACUAUGCUACACUUAUUUGCAUGUGUCGAAGGAUCCAUCCAUUGGAGGUGAUCAAAGUAGAGACGCGUAUUGGGGGCGAAUGACAGAACACUUUAAUGCUCACAACAAGAGUGGAAUUUACCGCUCCGAGAGAUCACUUCGGUCCCGAUGGUCGACAAUCAACUCGGAUUGUCAAAAGUGGGCGGCCGCGCAAAAGUCGGUGGACAAGAUUAACCCAAGUGGCACAAAUGAGGAUGAUCGAGUAAGUGGCAUCUCAUAUAUGUUCAUCAUACUUGUUUUUGGUGACCGAAGUGCUAACUUGUUUUGUUUUUCUUGUAGUACAACAUUGCACAAAACUUGUUCAAACAAGAGACAAGGACAACCAAGAAGGGGAAGAUCAAGAAAGGCAGGAUCUUUACCUUGCCUCAUUGCUAUGAAGUGUUAA